CCGACCUUAGCUCAGUUGGUAGAGCGGAGGACUGUAGUAUGUUUACUGAAAUCCUUAGGUCGCUGGUUCGACUCCGGCAGGUCGGA
rnacentral:tRNA from 11 species